UGUAGCAACACUUGCAGUCCCGAGCGCAGCCGAGAGACUCAGCAAGGAAUGAAACUUUACUCGAAGCAGGAAGAAUCUGGCAGCUUUCACGGAACGCUUAAUUGUCAGAUUGAGUUGUAGACAUCGUCUUAUAUCGUCAAAAUUUUAGGUAAAUUUAACACGCAUGACAAACAUAUUCCAUCCGUGUGCAGUUAGGCUAUUACAAUAUCCGGAUUUCAGUGCCGUAGGGAAACACUUGGACUGAGACGCAGCUGUGGUAUUUUCCAUUGGUUUUCAUGACUGGAAAAAAAACUGAUUUUGCCCAACACUUCGGGUAGUUUGUCAAGCACCUCGUGUCAUCUACAAUGAUGUGUCAUACAUAACUUAACAGGCUGAGGACGUCACUGAAAGAGUGGAGCCCCACCUCCCUGAUGAUGACAGUCAACAUGGGUCCCAGCAGCAGAAACACAACAGGCUUCCUCACAC